UUUAAAAUACAAUUUAACAAAAGAGGAAAGAAAAUUGAAGCCAAACCUCCCUAAGUCCCAACGGUCAAAAAUGUUUUUUUAAAAAAGAGCGUUACAUUAGUUUACGAUCCCCACUGUUUUGCAUCUUUUGAAUUCCUCAAACUAUCGUCUCCAUCGAUUCCCAGUCUCGCGAAGUCCCACAGAAUUGAGACAGAGCUCGCUCAAUUUUCAUUUUAUUUUAUUUUUUUUCAAUUGCCUUUAACAGUUCGAUAAUUCUUCAAUUCCCACUCUACAUCUACAAUUCUAACAUUUUAUUUUUAUAUUUUUGGUUGAAUUGGUCAGAGAAAUGGAACCGGAGAACAUUGAUUGGAACAACAUCGAAUCAAUAUUCGAGGAAGAUGAAACGUACGAGAAGAUCAUAGCGCCUAAAUGGGUCGACCUUUCUGCUCCAGAUGAGGUGGUUGAUGAUGAAUACUGGUUCUGCAAGUCGGAUUGUAAGCAUCCAAAGACUGCAGAAGAUUUCGUUAAAUCCAAACGCAAUUCAAAGAUGAAGCACCUAAGAUCCGUAACAAUGGCUGAAAUCCUCCCAUUCAUGGACAGAAAUCGCAGAGAUGCGAAGAAAGCUUCAUCAGCUGCAGAAUUUCCUAAUACAAAGCUCCUAAAAACAGAAAGUUCAAUUUUUUCAAGCAAUACCAAUGAAGAAGACACUGAGAAUAAAGAUCCAAACUUUUCGAUUCCUACACUUCAAUCUGAAAGACCCAAAACAAAGAAAGCUUUUUUGAAGCCACAGAUUACAGAGAAGACAAAUAAGAAGAAGCAAGUAAUCGAUGAGCCAGCUGAGAAAUAUCCAUUAAAACAGAGUGCCAAACCUCGGCUAAAGAGUACUUUAUCGAUGCGCAAUUUGAUAUCUGGACGUGAAAUUCUGAAUCAGAUUUCAGAUUUCUGCACUGAAAUGAAGAAAUUGGCUACAAAGAGUUCGAAGAAAGGGAUGCCAGAGAAAUUGCCAGGUGGGAGACAGAGAGAGAGAAUGCCACUCAUUGGUAGAGAAGGGAAGGUCUAAAAAGCAAAGCAAUGAAACAGAGGAAAAGCAGAGGAAUUAUACAGAGCUUGUCAUCUGAACAAGAUUUAGGAUGCAUUUGAGUGAGAUAGGGUAAAGCACACUGCAUAGAAACAAAGUGGGGGAGGGAGAGAAUAUGUGCUUGUCUCUUUGAAUUUAUACAAUCAACGAGGAACGUGCGGUGAAAGAAAGAAAAAGAAAACCCUCUCCUUUAUUUCAAUCUCAGUCGGUCUCUUUCUA